GGCGGUAUUGACUUUUUUGUUUUCUGACAGGGUCUCGCUGUAGACCAGGCUGGGCAGGAACUCACAGAGAUGAAGAUACUCUAAAGAGACACUUGGGUCUCUUCAUUCUGACUGUCAGACAACUGAAAUAAUGGAUCCCAAAGAAAUGGGUAUUUUCCUAGGACUCUCAUGCUGGGAGAAGGAAAGGGAACCAGCCAGAGGGGGAACUUGUCUUCCAGAGGUUUUACACAGUUCUAAUAACCUGCACACCACAUUACAGAAUGAGACUGAACCCAGGUAAUGAUGCGUCAGUGGUGGGUGUGACCACCCCUUGACUGGGGCUACUUAGAUGUACACCUUCUUAGUCCUCUAUAAAUAACCUUGAUGUUACUUCAGGACCGUGAAGGCUGACUAAAGGGGCUUGCUGGAUCUCUUUGUCCCUCUUCCCGAUGUGGCCACAUUGAAUUAGAACCUCUAGGGGCCAGAGAGAUGGCUCAGCAGUUAAAAGCACUGACUGCUCUUCCACAGGACCCGGGUUCAAUUCCCAGCACCCACAUGGCGGCUAACAACUACCUGUAACUCCAGUUCCAGGGGAUCUGCCCGAUGCCCUCUUCUGGCCUCUGUGGACACACAUUCACUCAAGCACACACACACAAAUAAAUAAAUAAAUAAAUAAAUAAAUAAAUAAAUAAAUAAUGAAACAAAACAAAAAAUUAGGAUCUUGCUGUGUACCUGGCUGGCCUGAGAAAUACUACAGAUCAAGCCGGCCUCAGAGAUUCUUCUGUACUGUUUCUGCCUCCAAGUACUGGAGGUACAUGUGUGCCACCACACCUUGCCUCAGAGAGUUCUUUUUGGAGAUGGAAAUCAGGUCUUUUUGCUUGGUGGGUACCUGGGUACAGUUGAGAAAAAAAGCAUGGCACUGAAAACAAAUGAAGUGAAUGUUUAUGUACUUGGUUAUGGUUUCUACACUUGACAGCCAAAUUUAUAGUUUCCAGGUUCAAGAUUCCAGGAUGCUCCUUGGGAAAUUUGAUUACUCCGAGAAACGAUCUAAUUAACACCAGGGUUCUAACAAAGUCCUUAGCCAGACAAGACCAUGUUGAAAUUCAUUGCUGGUAAGUCCUGGUGUAUACAUGGAAUAGUUAGUCAACUUCUUUUCACCUCAGGCUCUCCUGGAAUUGGACAUCCUCCUGCCUCAGCCUCUUGAGCGCAGGGAUUACAAAUUCACACUACCAUUCCACUUUUGAAUAUGACCAGACAGAAAAGGAUUUCUAGGUAUUUGAAGAACUUUCUAGCUUGAAAGCAAUAAAUACAGAGGGAAAACAAAUCCUCGUGGGCUCAGAUAAGAGAUUUUGUGUGUUCGAUUGAUUUUUUUGAGACUGUGGCAUAUUCCUGUGCUCAGAGCUAACUUGAAAGACUGGGGUAGGAGGAUCACUGGAGCCCAGGAAUCUGUGGACUGCCUGGGCAACAUAGCAAGAAUGCUCCCAUUUAUUCUGUUUUAUUUAUUUUCUGAGAGUGUCUUGGUAUGUUGCCUAUGUUCCUUGCCUCUUCUUCCAAACAAACAAACAGGGUUGAUUACAGAAGAAUGGCAUGGAAAACUAAAUCAUGAAGAUAUGAAAAGAUCAUCAUGGGCUGGGCAUUGGUAGCACACGCCUUUAAUCCCAGUACUCCAGAGGCAGAGGCAGGUGGAUCUCUGUGAAUUCGAGGCCAGCCUGGACUGUAUAUCAAGUUUCAGGACAUCCAGGGCUACACAGAAAAACCCUGUCUCAAAAGGAAAAGAAAAAAGUCCAUCAUGGGAAGAAAGAGAAACUGAGGAACUCUGCCUUCAGGAAAUCCCAAUUGACUCACUGAAUCUGCUGACAAUGACGAUUCAGAUGACGGUGUGGCAACAGCCUGAGGAGGGGGCCCAGAGAAAGCCAAAACUCACCGGAAGAGGAAAGAAGCGAAAGAUCCAGCCAUCUGCACGGGAGACGUGUGUAAACGUUCCUAACUCCUGUGGUUUUUGGAACCCCUAGCAUCCUCUCCUCCUUUUCUUGCUCCUCUUUCCUCUCAGAGUUCUCCUCCUAUUUAUUAUGCCUGCCAGCUCCACCUAUCCUUUCCUGCCAAGCUAUUGGCCAUUCAGCAAUUUAUUAGACCAUCAGGUGUUUUAGACAGGCACAGUAUCACAGCUUCACAGAGUUAGACAAAUGCAGCAUAAAAGAAUGCAGCACAUCUCUGCAUCAUUAAACAAAUGUCCACAGCGUAAACAAAUAAAUGUACACAUCUUAAACUAAUAUUCCACAACAAGAGACAGUCUUAGCGCUGACCCCAGGCCAACUGAAUCACAGUCUGUGUUGAAAGGUCCCCAGGUGACUUGUAUGCACAAUAAAAUGUGUGAAACACUG